GAUGAACGCUAGCGGGAGGCCUAACACAUGCAAGCCGAGCGGUAUUUGUCCUUCGGGACAGAGAGAGCGGCGUACGGGUGCGGAACACGUGUGCAACCUACCUUUAUCAGGGGGAUAGCCUUUCGAAAGGAAGAUUAAUACCCCAUAAUAUAAACCAAGGCAUCUUGAUUUAUUGAAAACUCUGGUGGAUAGAGAUGGGCACGCGCAAGAUUAGAUAGUUGGUAGGGUAACGGCCUACCAAGUCAGUGAUCUUUAGGGGGCCUGAGAGGGUGAUCCCCCACACUGGUACUGAGACACGGACCAGACUCCUACGGGAGGCAGCAGUGAGGAAUAUUGGACAAUGGGUGAGAGCCUGAUCCAGCCAUCCCGCGUGAAGGACGACGGCCCUAUGGGUUGUAAACUUCUUUUGUAUAGGGAUAAACCUACUCUCGUGAGAGUAGCUGAAGGUACUAUACGAAUAAGCACCGGCUAACUCCGUGCCAGCAGCCGCGGUAAUACGGAGGGUGCAAGCGUUAUCCGGAUUUAUUGGGUUUAAAGGGUCCGUAGGCGGGCUUGUAAGUCAGUGGUGAAAUCUCAUAGCUUAACUAUGAAACUGCCAUUGAUACUGCAGGUCUUGAGUAAAGUAGAAGUGGCUGGAAUAAGUAGUGUAGCGGUGAAAUGCAUAGAUAUUACUUAGAACACCAAUUGCGAAGGCAGGUCACUAUGUUUUAACUGACGCUGAUGGACGAAAGCGUGGGGAGCGAACAGGAUUAGAUACCCUGGUAGUCCACGCCGUAAACGAUGCUAACUCGUUUUUGGGCUUUCGGGUUCAGAGACUAAGCGAAAGUGAUAAGUUAGCCACCUGGGGAGUACGUUCGCAAGAAUGAAACUCAAAGGAAUUGACGGGGGCCCGCACAAGCGGUGGAUUAUGUGGUUUAAUUCGAUGAUACGCGAGGAACCUUACCAAGGCUUAAAUGGGAAUUGACAGGUUUAGAAAUAGACUUUUCUUCGGACAAUUUUCAAGGUGCUGCAUGGUUGUCGUCAGCUCGUGCCGUGAGGUGUUAGGUUAAGUCCUGCAACGAGCGCAACCCCUGUCACUAGUUGCCAUCAUUCAGUUGGGGACUCUAGUGAGACUGCCUACGCAAGUAGAGAGGAAGGUGGGGAUGACGUCAAAUCAUCACGGCCCUUACGCCUUGGGCCACACACGUAAUACAAUGGCCGGUACAGAGGGCAGCUACCUAGCGAUAGGAUGCGAAUCUCGAAAGCCGGUCUCAGUUCGGAUUGGAGUCUGCAACUCGACUCUAUGAAGCUGGAAUCGCUAGUAAUCGCAUAUCAGCCAUGAUGCGGUGAAUACGUUCCCGGGCCU
rnacentral:rRNA from 1 species